rnacentral:rRNA from 1 species
UACGUAGGGGGCGAGCGUUUGUCCGGAAUUAUUGGGCGUAAAGAGCGUGUAGGCGGUUCGGUAAGUCUGCCGUGAAAUCCUGGGGCUCAACCCCGGGCGUGCGGUGGAUACUGCCGGGCUAGAGGGUGGUAGAGGCGAGUGGAAUUCCCGGUGUAGCGGUGAAAUGCGCAGAUAUCGGGAAGAACACCCGUGGCUAAGGCGGCUCUCUAGUACGGUACUGACGCUGAGACGCGAAAAGCGUGGGGGAGCGAAACAGG